rnacentral:rRNA from 1 species
CGCGGCCUAUCAGCUUGUUGGUGGGGUAAUGGCCUACCAAGGCGACGACGGGUAGCCGGCCUGAGAGGGCGACCGGCCACACUGGGACUGAGACACGGUCCAGACUCCUACGGGAGGCAGCAGUGGGGAAUAUUGCACAAUGGGCGAAAGCCUGAUGCAGCGACGCCGCGUGAGGGAUGACGGCCUUCGGGUUGUAAACCUCUUUCAGCAGGGACGAAGCGUAAGUGACGGUACCUGCAGAAGAAGCGCCGGCCGACUACGUGCCAGCAGCCGCGGUAAGACGUAGGGCGCGAGCGUUGUCCGGAUUUAUUGGGCGUAAAGAGCUCGUAGGCGGCUUGUCGCGUCGACUGUGAAAACCCGCAGCUCAACUGCGGGCCUGCAGUCGAUACGGGCAGGCUAGAGUUCGGUAGGGGAGACUGGAAUUCCUGGUGUAGCGGUGGAGUGCGCAGAUAUCAGGAGGAACACCGGUGGCGAAGGCGGGUCUCUGGGCCGAUACUGACGCUGAGGAGCGAAAGCGUGGGGAGCGAACAGGAUUAGAUACCCUGGUAGUCCACGCUGUAAACGUUGGGCGCUAGGUGUGGGGGACCUCUCCGGUUCUCUGUGCCGCAGCUAACGCAUUAAGCGCCCCGCCUGGGGAGUACGG